GCCUAGCCCUAAAUCUUGGCACUUCCCCUACUAAAGUGCCCGCCCGAGAACUACGAGCACAAACGCUUAAAACUCUAAGGACUUGGCGGUGCCCCAAACCCACCUAGAGGAGCCUGUUCUAUAAUCGAUAACCCACGAUUCACCCGACCGUCCCUUGCCAAAACAGCCUACAUACCGCCGUCGUCAGCCCACCUUCGUGAAAGAAUAAUAGUGAGCACAAUAGCCCUGCCCGCUAGUAAGACAGGUCAAGGUAUAGCUCAUGGGACGGAAGAAAUGGGCUACAUUUUCUGAAACAGAAAAUUARACGAAAGAGGAUGUGAAACCGUCCCCGAAAGGCGGAUUUAGCAGUAAAGCGGGACAAUAGAGCCCCCUUUAAACUGGCCCUGAGGCACGU
rnacentral:rRNA from 1 species